GUGGGACAUUGCCUGAAUUUGUAUUUCAAGGUGGGACAAGAUUGCCUGAAGGAGUGGAAUUUGAAAUGCAUACAUUGCCAGUGAGGAUAUUAAAUGCCAUUUCAAUAUUGUUCAAGGGAGAUUGCUCUCUGGACCAGUCUUGAAUCCUCAACGGUGAAGGUAUUGUACUCGAGAUGUCUAUUAUUGAUUAUCCUCAAGUUUUAUUUUCUGUAAUUCGAGAAGAAACAAAAGAGAUUCACAAAGUUUAGGAAGUGUCUCGCCACCAAAGAAAUGUUUAGCAUUUAGCCACCAAAGCCAAAUGCUAAGCAUUUCCUUGGUGGGGAGAUGCUCCUAAGUUCUGUGAACUUUUGGGGCGCUUCAGACUACAAGAAACAAAAACCCGGGGAUAAUCGAUAAUAGACAUUUUGAGUAUAAUACCUCAUCCGUUGAGGUCCGAAACCGGCCUAAAGAGCAACCUCCCCCUCAACAAGUAUACAUAUUGGAUUUAAUAAUUUUGAUGCUGUAAACUUCUUUAACUUAAUCAGGUAGAUGGGAAUACAGUACCAGAUGGGGAUGGUUUAAAUGUGUAUGUGAAUACUGAUGAUCCUAGGGAGUCGCCGAACAUACCUAGAGCCGUUCUUAUGGCUGUGGUUCGAAGAUCAAAAGCACGUGCUAAGAAAAACUAUGCCAGAGCUGAUGAACUUCGCCAGAAGAUUAUUGAAUCAGGAUACCAGUUAGCAACAUUCAACUUGUCAAAUUUUUAGUACUUCUGUGAUUCGAGAUUGUUAAUUGUUGUUUGUCUGCAGGGUCAUAGACCUUCAAAACGAAGAGAUUCUUGCUCGAAAGUAUCGGAUUCGACUGAGGUAACAUUAUCUGUUUGAAGGACUUUUAUGUUAUAUAUUGUAACUUGUUGAAAGCAUAUAAACAGGGGUAUAGAUGCACCUGAGAUGUCGAUGCCGUUUGGAAAAGAAGCAAAAGAAGAGUUGGUUAAGCUUGUUCAUGGGAAAUGUUUGAGAGUGCUUGUCUACGGGGAAGAUCAAUAUGGUCGUUGUGUUGCAGACAUAUAUUGCAAUGGCAUUUUCGUGCAGGUAGAUACCCUUUUUGUAAGCUUCAAUUCGGUUUACCCGAUAAGAACGAAUUAAUCCGCAAAUCUGUUACUUGAACAGGAAGUAAUGCUAAAGAAAGGACUCGCAUGGCAUUAUGUAGCCUGCGACCAACGGGUUGAAUUCGCAACUGUAAGUAAACAACAAUCCUGUAUGUUCUUGCACAUCAUUGAGUUAAAACUUGUGACUAUUGUCUUUGUAUGUAUGUAAUAUCAGUGGCAAAAAGAGGCUCGGACAAAGAAAACCGGCCUUUGGGUACAAUCAAACCCAGAGAAGCCAUGGGAAUGGAGGAAGAAGAACAAACGAGAAGGUAGGUAACACUGUCCUUAAGGAUCCAUAACAUCUUGAGAAGUGAUAAAAGUACACAGUUAUCAUAUUUGUGUAAAGAACCAUGUUUGAUCCAUUCCUAUGGCCUUCCUCAUCCUUCUAUUUUAGCGGAAAUUUCUACUGGUGUCCCGACAAGAUUGCCUGAAUUUGUAUUUCAAGGUGGGACAUUGCCUGAAUUUGUAUUUCAAGGUGGGACAAGAUUGCCUGAAGGAGUGGAAUUUGAAAUGCAUACAUUGCCAGUGAGGAUAUUAAAUGCCAUUUCAAUAUUGUUCAAGGGAGAUUGCUCUCUGGACCAGUCUUGAAUCCUCAACGGUGAAGGUAUUGUACUCGAGAUGUCUAUUAUUGAUUAUCCUCAAGUUUUAUUUUCUGUAAUUCGAGAAGAAACAAAAGAGAUUCACAAAGUUUAGGAAGUGUCUCGCCACCAAAGAAAUGUUUAGCAUUUAGCCACCAAAGCCAAAUGCUAAGCAUUUCCUUGGUGGGGAGAUGCUCCUAAGUUCUGUGAACUUUUGGGGCGCUUCAGACUACAAGAAACAAAAACCCGGGGAUAAUCGAUAAUAGACAUUUUGAGUAUAAUACCUCAUCCGUUGAGGUCCGAAACCGGCCUAAAGAGCAACCUCCCCCUCAACAAGUAUACAUAUUGGAUUUAAUAAUUUUGAUGCUGUAAACUUCUUUAACUUAAUCAGGUAGAUGGGAAUACAGUACCAGAUGGGGAUGGUUUAAAUGUGUAUGUGAAUACUGAUGAUCCUAGGGAGUCGCCGAACAUACCUAGAGCCGUUCUUAUGGCUGUGGUUCGAAGAUCAAAAGCACGUGCUAAGAAAAACUAUGCCAGAGCUGAUGAACUUCGCCAGAAGAUUAUUGAAUCAGGAUACCAGUUAGCAACAUUCAACUUGUCAAAUUUUUAGUACUUCUGUGAU
rnacentral:lncRNA from 1 species